AAGUGCACCGAUGAUUUAGCAUGGUUGCUAAGUAUGACUUCAAAUCAUUUGGCGUAGAGCUACUGCGCAGAGGUUCGAUUCCUCCUUCGGUGCGUUUUUUUGUGAA
rnacentral:tRNA from 1 species